GAAGUUUUUGUCAUAUAAAUCUUUCACUUGC
rnacentral:piRNA from 1 species